CCAAUAGCGUAUAUUAAAGUUGUUGCAGUUAAAAAGCUCGUAGUUGAAUUUCGAGACCGGUUUACUGGUCGUGCUUUUGUACGUACUGGUAUAAUCGGUUUCUCUUUUCUGACGAACUAUAAUGCCAUUAAUUUGGUGUUAUAGGGAAUCAGGACUGUUACUUUGAAAAAAUUAGAGUGUUUAAAGCAGGCUCACGCUUG
rnacentral:rRNA from 1 species